rnacentral:rRNA from 1 species
GAUGAACGCUGGCGGCGUGCCUAAUACAUGCAAGUCGAGCGAACAGACGAGGAGCUUGCUCCUCUGACGUUAGCGGCGGACGGGUGAGUAACACGUGGAUAACCUACCUAUAAGACUGGGAUAACUUCGGGAAACCGGAGCUAAUACCGGAUAAUAUAUUGAACCGCAUGGUUCAAUAGUGAAAGACGGUUUUGCUGUCACUUAUAGAUGGAUCCGCGCCGCAUUAGCUAGUUGGUAAAGUAACGGCUUACCAAGGCAACGAUGCGUAGCCGACCUGAGAGGGUGAUCGGCCACACUGGAACUGAGACACGGUCCAGACUCCUACGGGAGGCAGCAGUAGGGAAUCUUCCGCAAUGGGCGAAAGCCUGACGGAGCAACGCCGCGUGAGUGAUGAAGGUCUUCGGAUCGUAAAACUCUGUUAUUAGGGAAGAACAAAUGUGUAAGUAACUAUGCACGUCUUGACGGUACCUAAUCAGAAAGCCACGGCUAACUACGUG